rnacentral:rRNA from 1 species
UUGGGAAUAUUGGACAAUGGGGGGAAACGUCUGAUCCAGUGACGCCGCGUGAAGGAAGAAGGUCUUCGGAUUGUAAACUUAUUUUAUCAGGGAAGAGAAAGGACAGUACCUGAGGAAGAAGCACCGGCUAACUACGUGCCAGCAGCCGCGGUAAUACGUAGGGUGCAAGCGUUAUCCGGAUUUACUGGGUGUAAAGGGCGAAUAGACGGUAGUGCAAGUCAGAUGUGAAAUGCUAGGGCUUAACCUUAGAACUGCAUCUGAAACUGCAAUACUAGAGUGCAGAAGAGGUAAGUGGAAUUCCUAGUGUAGCGGUGAAAUGCGUAGAUAUUAGGAGGAACACCAGUGGCGAAGGCGACUUACUGGGCUGUAACUGACGUUGAAGCGCGAAAGUGU